GAACUACUGUGAAAAAAGUCCUUGUUAAUGCUAAAAAGCUUAUCUAUAAAUGUUGAUAAGGAGACUGAACCAUAUGCUAUACUAUCUGUAUCUUUUGUCACGUACUAGGGAAGAAUAGGACCGGUUGGAAUGCCAGGGUCACCUGGGAGACCAGGACCAGAGGGCACAGCUGGGAAGGAUGGGGAGACGGGCCCUCCAGGACAACCUGGGGAGGAUGUAAGACUUAUGGGAAUCUCAAUGCUCCAUAUGCAUCUUUCCAAAGUGAUUUAAGUUUUAGUAGUGUUAAAUAUAUUGUAUAUUCUGCCUAUAAUUGCAUACAUGUCUCUGUGCGUUUUUUCUGUAGGGCCCAAAAGGUUAUGUGGGAGAGAAGGGCAGGAGCUGGGUGAGUGGGGUCCUCCAGGGCUGCCGGGUAAACAGGGAUUUGGAGGCGGAGGAGGGCAGUCUGGUGUACAGGGAGAGAUUGGCCCUAUUAGACCUGCUGGUUUAUCAGGGCCAACGGUGAGCGGCGAUGGGCCUUUUAACUGGUUAAAAUCUGACUCACUGAAAGCCAGCCGCUUAGUCAUUACAUUGCUUUUACUUCAGGGCUAUGAUGGGUCUGUUGGAGAGGGAAAAGAUGGACCUAAGGUACAGUACUGUAUUUCUCUAUUUGUCAAAGUAAUCUAAUAUAAUGUGCUAUUCCAUAAAAACACAGUUACCUUAUUUAAAUGGCAUCUUUAGGGAGAGAGAGGCCACCCUGGUUUCCAAGGUGCUUCUGGACCACAAGGAGACAAGCUGAUUGAUAAUUGUUCACAAUGUCUUUUUGACAAAAGUCAUACAUUAGAUUUCACAUACAUAAUUUCAAUAAGACAACAUUAUUUGACAUUAAAAGGGUCGGACUGGCCAAAGGGGAUUCGCUGGUUUUAGUAGAUUUGUUUGAUCCUAGCACCCCUAGUGGUAAUUUUAGGAAAAAAGUAUAUCCAUAGAUUCAGUGGGUUUUUUUUAGCAUCAUUGAUAUACUAUUAUAAGUAGAUUAUAUAUUUUUUUAUAUAUAAUUUUUUACAUUUUGUUGUGUUUUUGUCAUUGUUAUUAGGUAUUUUUUAUUAUUAUUUUUGUUUGUUUAAUGUGUCGUUUUUAGUUUUAGUUCAGUAAAUGUACCAUUAUCUAUGACUGCUAAAACCAAUUGACACAUUUGACCAGUAGGUGGCACUGCAAACUGCAAACAACAUGCAAACAUUCAUUCAAUUCUAGGGCCUAUAGACUUGGGAAAAUUAUAAUAAAACUAAAAAAAUACGACA
ensembl:lncRNA